CCUACGGGUGGCAGCAGUGGGGAAUAUUGCACAAUGGGGGAAACCCUGAUGCAGCAACGCCGCGUGAAGGAAGACGGCUUUCGGAGUGUAAACUUCUGUUCUUAGUGAAGAAUAAUGACGGUAGCUAAGGAGAAAGCCACUGCUAACUACGUGCCAGCAGCCGCGGUAAUACGAAGGAGGCAAGCGUUUUCCGGAAUUACUGGGUGUAAAGGGAGCGCAGGCGGGAAGCCAAGUCAGCUGUGAAAACUACGGGCGUAACUUGUAGACUGCAGUUGAAACUGGUGUUCUUGAGUGAAGUAGAGGUUGGCGGAAUGCCUGGUGUAGCGGUGAAAUGCGUAGAUAUUCGGAAGAACACCGAUGGCGAAGGCGGCCAACUAAGCUUUAACUGACGCUGAUGCUCGAAAGUGUGGGGAGCAAACAGGAUUAGAUACCCGGGUAGUC
rnacentral:rRNA from 1 species